rnacentral:rRNA from 1 species
UCGAGAAUCUUCGGCAAUGGGCGCAAGCCUGACCGAGCGACGCCGCGUGCGGGAUGAAGGCCCUUGGGUUGUAAACCGCUGUCAGGGGGGAGCAAGGCGUAAGCUUGAGCGAGCCCCAGAGGAAGCACGGGCUAAGUUCGUGCCAGCAGCCGCGGUAAUACGAAGGAUGCAAGCGUUAUCCGGAAUUAUUGGGUUUAAAGGGUGCGUAGGCGGACUAAUAAGUCAGUGGUGAAAGCCUGCAGCUUAACUGCAGAAUUGCCAUUGAUACUGUUAGUCUUGAGUACGGUUGAGGUAGGCGGAAUGUGUCAUGUAGCGGUGAAAUGCUUAGAUAUGACACAGAACACCGAUUGCGAAGGCAGCUUGCUAAGCUGUAACUGACGCUGAGGCACGAAAGCGUGGGGAGCAAACA